rnacentral:ncRNA from 1 species
AAUAAAUAAAAGAAGGAAAAAAAGCGCCGCAGCAUGCCCAUCUCUUGUCCUCCCGCGCAUGCUCUGCCGCCGUUUCCCGUGCUCUGAAGAGGUGAGGAGGGGAGGCAUCUGCUCGUUCCCACGCGCAUGUGUGCCGCAUCCCCUGGUUUCGCGUGGUGCCUCGCCUCGGCCGGCGCCUAGCAGCCAACUUAGAACUGAUGCGGACCAGGGGUAUCGGACUGUUUAAUUAAAACAAAGCAUCGCGAAGGCCCGAGGCAGGUGUUGAGGUGAUGUGGUUUCUGCCCAGUGCUCUGAAUGUCAAAGUGAAGAAAUUCAAUGAAGCGCGGGUAAAAGGCGGGAGUAACUAUGACUCUCUUAAGGUAGCCAAAUGCCUCGUCAUCUAGAAUGGAUGAAUGAGAUUCCCACUGUCCCUACCUACUAUCCAGCAAAACCACAGCCAAGGGAAUGAGUUUGGCAGAAUCAGUGGGGAAAGAAGACCCUGUUGAGCUUGACUCUAGUCUGGCACGGUGAAUUUGUCAACCUUUCAGAACUGCAUAGAUGAUCAUGUCAUUGGCAAACAGAGACAGUUCUAUUAUUUUUUUCCUUCUGAAUAUGCUUGACUUUAUUUCCUUUUAGAGUCCUCUUUCCUUAUAUAGAACUACUAGUACAAUGUUAAAAAGCAAUGACAAGACUGAAUGUCUUUACCUGUAUUUUAGCAGAAAAAUCUCAGUUAUCUCACCCUUAAGUUUGAUGUUAGCUGUCAGUUUUAUCAUGGAUGUAUUGUAUCAAGUUGAAGAAGUUUCCCCUCUAUUCUUAGUUGGCAAUGAAUAUUCUUUUAAAAAAAUUAAAAAUUCUCUUGUCAUGAAUUUUCUUAUUAUUUAUAAUGAAUUAAUGGUGGAUUUUGUCAAAUGAUUUUUCUGAAUCUAUUUAAUAUUAUCAUGGGGAUUUUUUUUCCUUAGCCCCUUAAUGUGAUGGAUUACUUGAUUU